UGGCCUGCACCACUAGAAACCUUCUCAGGAAUCUCCCCAGUCUUUCUUGUGAGUAUCUGACAAAAUUCAUUUCAACUUCUAACUUUAUUUUUACAAAUUAUGUGUUAUAUGUAACCUAGGAAUCUAUUAAUUUCUAUGUGCUAAUUUUACAGCUUUUCUUUUAUUCUUUGAGGUACUUUUCCCAACGAUUCUCUGGGAUUUUCCAGGUACACUAUCUUGUCAUCUGCAAGUAGAGACAGUUCUACUCCUUUUUUAAUCUUUAUCCCUCCAAUUGUGUUAUCUGACUGCAUAUGCAAUGUGUUCAUUAAAAGCAGAUACAUAAAGUAUUCUUGCCUUGUUCUUGAUCUUAAUAGGAAUGUUUCUAUUGUUUUCCCAUUGAAUAAAUCACCAGCUUUAGGACUGAAGUGUAUAUAUUUUAUCAUGAUAAGGAAGAACCCAUUCAUUUUUUGUCAACACUUUAAGUAUAAAGGGGUGUUGAAUUUUUCAAAGGCUUUCUUGGCAUCUAUGGAGAUAACCAUAUAAUUAUUUUUCUCCUUCAGCUUAUUAAUGUGGUCAGUGUUAAUAUCAGAUUUUCUAAUACUGAGUCAUCUUUGUAUUGCUAAUAUAGAAUCUCUUCUCACUAUGGUUCUGAUUUAGCUCCACAGUUUGGGGAAGUCCUAAUUUUUAUUUUUAUUUUUUUAAUUUAAAUUUUUUUAUUUUUGAGAGAAAGAGAGAGAAAGACAGCAUGAGUAGGGGUGGGGCAGAGAGAGACUGAGACAUAGAAUCUGAAGCAGACUCCAGGCUCUGAGCUGUCAGCACAGAGCCUGGCACAGGGCUCAAACUCACAAAAUGCGAGAUCAUGACCUGAGCUGAAGUUGGACGCUUAACUGACUGAGCUACCCAGGUGCCCCUUUUUUUCUUGAUCUCAUUUUCUUAUGGCCAGAGUAUACCUCAAGGUAUACUUUUUCAAAAUAAGUCCAUGGGAGGUCAACUUUCAGAGUCUUUUCUUGUAUAAAAAAUAUGUGUGUGUGUAUAUAUAUAUAUAUCUUCAUUGUAACAUCAAGGUACUUUUCCCCCAAGCCUUGAAGGACAUCUUCUAUUUCUGUUUAGCACACCAUGCCGCUGAUCUCCUUCCUCUGCCAGUGACAUGUGCCCCCUCCCUCUCCAGGCAGCCUUUAGGAUUUUCUCCUUAUUUUUCUAAAUAUGCAUGAGAGAGUGUCCAGGUAUUGCCCUUUCUCAAUCAUCCUAUAAAGUAACUAAGAGGAAUUUUUAAUCUUAAAACUUUUUACCCUUUUAUAGCUCUGGGAAAUUUUCCCCGAUCAUUUCUUUAUUUUGUACUGUGAUCAACAGAAUAAUGGUCUCCCCAAAGAUGUCCACAUCCUAAUCCCUGGAACGCUGUGAAUGUGCCAUCUUAUAUGGAAAAGAGACUUUACAGAUGUGAGAUCUUGAGACGGGGAGAUUUUCCUGGAUUAGCUGUGUGAGCCCAGUGUCAUCACAAGGGCUCUUGCAAGAGGCAGGCUACAGGGUCAGAGUCAGAAAAGGCAAUAUGACAGCAGAUGGAGAAGAAGAGAGGGCAAUGUUGUGAUGGGAGCAGGGGUCACAGAGAGAGAGUCUUGAAGAUGCUACAUAGCUGGUCUUGAAGGUGGAGGAAGGGGGCAUGAGCCAAGAAUGCAGUCAACUUUCAGAAGCUGGAAAAGGCAGGGGCCUCUGGGUGGCUCAGUCGGUUAAGCAUCCAACUUUGGCUCAGGUCAUGAUCUCACAGCUCGUGGGUUUGAGCCCCCCAUCGGGCUCUGUGCUGACAGCUCAGAGCCUGGACCCUGCUUCAGAUUCUGUGUGUGUGUCUCUCUCUCUACCCCUCCCCUGCUCAAGCUUUGCCUCUCUCUCUCUCUCUCAAAAAUAAAUAAACAUUAAAAAAAAUAAAACAAACAAAAAAACUGGAAAAGGAAAGGAAUUCAUUCUUAGAGCUUCCAGAAGGAAUACAGCCCUGCUGACACCUUGACUUCAGGACUUCUGACGUCAGUAAGUGUAAAAUAAUACGUUUGUGUUGUUUCAAGCCUCUAAAUUCAUCACAGCAGCAAUAGGGACCAAUACACUUACCCUGCACUUUCUGUCCUGUUCCUUGUUUCUGAACUCUUACUGACACAUUUUGGACACCAUGGACUGAUGCUACACAUCUCUUAACUUUCUUUCACCUUUUUCUUCAUCUUCUUGUCUUUUUGCCCUACCAUCUGGGAAGUUUCUUUGACUACAUUCUCCCAUCCUUCUCCUGAGUUCUUCUUCCAAUUGUAUUUUGAAUUUCUGUGAACUUUUUCUUGUUCCCUGAUUUUUCCUUUCUGUAGCUUCCUGUUCCUAUUUUGUGAAUGCAAUACAUUCUCAAAAGUCUCUGAAGUGUUAAUCAUGACUUUUAGAUUUACUCAUUGCCUUUGAUAUCUCUAUCUUUCCAGAACAGCUGUUACUUUUGCUCUUCGGGGUCCUUCUCUCUUGUGGGGACUGUUUUCUUGGUUGCCUGUUUACAUGUACAAAUGAAAGACAAGACUGAUGCAUAUAGACAGCUGGCACGGCUUCUGUCUGUGGUUCCCAGGUCUGUUUACUCAGCAGGCCUCACCCCUUCCCGAGAAGGUUGGCUUGAGUUCUGCAUAGAGGGUGACUCAUAGUAACUGGCAGCCUUCACUCGAGGGUGCCGGGACUCCUCACCCCACAAAAAGAUCCAACUAAUGAGGGCUUUACUCAGGUGGGUACUAAGCCUCCUUCCAAGGUCAUUUCCAAGUGCAAACACAGCACUGCUGGCUUCUUGGUGGAGCCUGGGUUACAGGAGAGCAGAGUGCUCUCCUCACUGUUCCACGGAUGGUCCUUGAACCAACUCUUCUCUCCCCACCACUGAAGCCCCUGGCCAACUCCUGUUCUCCAGCUUCAGACUCUGAACUCACAGCUUUUCCAGGUGCUCAGGGAGGCUGAUACCUCUACCCAGGCUGCCUCUUGCAUACAUAGUGGGCUGCAGUCUCCUCAGCCAUGGGUUUUUAAUCAAUACGAUCAUUCCUGAUUUUUUUGUUCUAGAAAUCUAUGAAAGUCACAAGUUCCCUGAUACUCGUCCAUGCCUUCAUCCUCUUCACAAGUCUGCUGGGAUUAUGUGAUGUUGCCAUUUCCAGAAGUUCUGGAGAAGGGAAGGAAUUCAUUCUGCCCUCUGGACACCUAAGCUCUCCGAUAGGUCUAUACAAGAUACAGGUAGCUGUCACCGUACUAGUGGUAACAUGUCUCUGUGCAGGAAGCCUCUUCCUUGACAAGACGAGGGCCAUCCCACCACUGAAUUGCCUUAGCUUAGCUACAGUAUUCUAGUCUCAUGAGAUUCUUAGAAGGACUGGCUAACCUUUGACAUGAGAAACAUAAUUGAUUCUAAACGCUCUGAAAGUGGUGUAAGGGAGAGGACUAUCUUUGGCUGUGGGUGAAAACCAGUAGUGACAUUAAAGAGACAGUGGUGUACUCGGUGCAGGAGGUAGGAAGGCCUGCUAGGGAGGCUGCUGCAUGUCGAGGUUUAGGCUCUAUCCCUCCCAUGCUUUGCUGUGUGCGGCCCCCACUCCUAGAUCACCACAUGGUCCAAGGGGACAGCUCCAGCUCUGGUCAUCGUGUCCACAUUCCAGCCAGCAGAAGAAGAAAGAAGGAAGAAGGGCUAAUCCACUCCUUUUAAUGCUAUUUCCUGGAACGGAAAUCGCUCAUGAUGCUGCCAUUCACACGCCACUGGCCGGAUCUGGUCCAGAUAGCUGUGUGCCAAGCUUGACCCUGAGGGUUUCAUUAUUAAGGAAGGAGCAUAUAUGGUGGGGCCAGCCAGGGGCAGGCAAUAUGUCCCCUCCAUGACUUUACUAUCUCCACAGGCUUGAACAUCAUGGGUACUUGGGAAGAAAGCAGGCUGACUGUCCAUGGCUCAGAAUGGUCUACUCAUUCCUCACUCCCUUUGCUCUGGCCUGAAUGUUUGUGCCCCCAUCACCCCAGAACCCACAUGUUGGAAUCCAUACACCCAACAGGAUGGUGUUAGGAAGUGAGGCCUUUGGAAGGAGAUUAGGUCAUGAGGGAGGAGACUUCAUGAAUGGGAUUCAUGCUGUUUAAAUUUUUUUUUAGUUUAUUUAUUUAUUUUUGAGAGACAGAGACAGUGUGAGUGGGGGAGGGGCAGAUAGAGAGGGAGAGAGAAUCCUAAGCAGGCUCUGCAUUGCCAGUGUAGAGCCUGACAAGGACCUCAAACUCACGAAACCAUGAGAUCAUGACCUGAGCCAAAACCAAGAGUCAGACGCUUAACCGAGUGAGCCAGGCGCCCCUGGGAUUCGUGCUCUUAUACAAGAGCCCCACCGAGCUCUCAAGCUUCUCCCUUCUGCCCCGUGAGGCUACCAGUAAGAACUCUGCAGCUCAAAAGAGGACCUUCACCCAAGCAGGCUGACUUCCUGAUCUCACACUUCCAGUUUCCAGAAGUAUGAGAAAUAAGUUUGUGUUGUUCAUAAGCACCCAGUCUGUGCUAAUUUGUUAUAGCAGACGGAACACACUAAGACCCCCAUUUCCUGGGCCUUGAAGACUGGUACAAUAUUUUUUCUGGAGUUAAGAAUUCUGGGGCCAGAGUUAACGUUCCAUUAAUUAUUUGCCAGACACCCAGCUUCAUUGUGGUCCCUGAUUUUAAAUACAUCACCCAGAACUACCCAGACCAGAGUGAAAGUCUUUCCCCUCAUUGGUUCAGAGUUGCAAAGACGUUAAAAGAAUCAGGGACGUAGCUGUCCUUGAACAUUCAGGGGUCAAGGGUGGUUUGAACUAGCAACAGAGCUGUGGAGCGAAAGUCGAUAAACAACUUGUUUCCCAAGGCCUUUGUGUAGCCCGCCCUUCCUCUCCUCCGCUUUUCCUGCUGUGUCCCAAGGGACCUGUGCCCUGCGCAUCAGUUCUGCUGGAACAAGUUAUGGUAAGGGCGGCUUCGAAAGAAGAAAACAAUUCACAAGUGCCCUCGCCGGUCCCUCCAAUGCAAACAUUUUCCAAAGUAUUUUUUCCACAUUUUCGCAUCUCUUGUUUGAAUAAGUCCCCAUUUUACUGCUGCUGGCUGAGCCAGAACAGUCUACACAUCCCAGGGGAGGGCCUGCCCCAAUAGAAAGAAUUCCAGACUAACUAGCUGAAGAAAUAAGUAUUUGGUAAUGAGCGUGCAGAGGACACUGAGCCUGCCUUCCCAAGCUCCACCUUGGGCUUCCUGUGGCUGCUACUGCCAGGAAAACAGCUUCUUAUCCACUCUGGCAGUUAGGGGAAAUGUGACAGCCCUGGAUCUGGUGCCUGUGAAAGGUGUUUACUGGGUCCUGCUCCAGAUGGGAACAUUCAGGCUCAGUCCCCUCUUCUCCUACAUUAAGUCUUCACUCAUCCUCUGACUACACUGCCUUUCUGGGGCCUUUGUCAUCUGGGGCUGCCUGGGGGACCUGAGCCUGCCUCAUCUCCAUGGCUAAUGAAGUGUCCCAAGGCACUGGUUGCCCCCCCUCCAUACCCCUCUAAGUCAUGCUUCUGUGGGAGGGGUCCCAACCAAUCUCCUGUCCUUAAACCUCCUCCUUUCAGAGGAUGACAGAGGCACAUCUUUGGGCACCAGGGCCCCUCCCACAGAGAGGCUGAGUACUGGCCCUGGGGGUCGAGAGUCUGGGGAGCAAGAGAGCCAGGAAAAAAACUUGCACCCCGGCUCACAGCCUGGCCAUCUUGCUCUGUCCUGCCUGCUAGCUUCAAGCAUAAUCGUCCUCAAGGAAACUGCCUGUGCUGAGAGGUCAGAGGCUAUGUCUGGACAUACUGUGUAUUCCCCACCACUGGAGAGACCACUGCUCACCUGUCUUUCACCUCUCCUUGGGGGUGAAUUGCAUUUUCCAAAGUUAGCAACAAACGGGAUCUCUAACCAACUGAACCUUUGAUCUUUGUACAGCCAGCUCUGACCAUCUUCCUGCAGAGAGGGAGGGGCUAUUUCCCCUUCUCCCAAAUCCAGGAUGGUGCCACUCUGGGGUAAGUGAUGCUAUUCGACUUCUGAGGCCAAGUUACAAAUGACGAGACAAUUUCUGCCUGGCUCUCUUGGGACUCUCCACUUUGAAAAAAAAAAUUUUAAUGUUUAUUUUUUGAGAGAGAGAGACAGUAUGAGUGGGGUAGGGGCAGAGAGAGAAGGAGACAUAGAAUCCAAAGCAGGCUGCAAUCUCUGAGCUGUCAGCACAGAGCCCGAUGCAGGGCUCAAACUCACAAACCAUGAGAUCAUGACCUGAGCUAAAAUCGGAGGCUUAACCAACUGAGCCACCCAGGUGCCCCUGGACAAUUUGCUUUGAAAUGCAACUACCAUGCUGUAGAGAGGCCAAACCUGCACAGAAGCCACAUGGAAGUUUCUCAAAGCAGUCCAAGCCAGCAUGUGAGGAGGCAACUCUUCAGGUGAGCAGCCCCAAGUCCAGGGGUCCCCUCAGGCUUGGAGUCCUGCCAGUGAGGUCCCAGAUGCUGUGAACAGAUUCUAGCUUUCCUUGAUGUUGUCUUUCCCAAAUUCUGAUGCUCAGAAACAUAAUAAAAUGAUCUAAGCUGCUAUGUUUGGGGUAACUCAUUAUCAGUAACUGCAUCCUUUCUCUUACAGAAACAUCACACUUCCUGCCCCCUUGAAAUCUGUGGCCCUGUGACUUGCUGUGGGCAAUGCAAUUUGAGUGGAAAUGAUGUAUGACAGUGUUUCAUUGCUUGGCUCCAUUCUUUGCCUGUUCUUCUGGAAGACAUGGAGAUGUUGUCUCUGUGGGUCACAUUGGACAUAUGGGCCAGUCACCCCUCUGCUCUCCUCCAGCCCUGGGCCUAGGAGCUGUCCUGCCCACACCUUCAUCUCAAGACCUUGAAUUUGCCUUUCUGUCUGCCUGGAAACUCUUCACCUGGAUAUCGAUGGGAAAACUGAGGCCCAGAGAUGUUAAAGAGCUUGCUGACAACUGUCAGAGCCUGGAACCAAGAAGCAGCCCCAGCCCUAAAGGACAACCAGGCCCAGGAACUUCCCAGAACAGAUAAGCCUGUGGGAUGUGACAUACUGGGGAGACCAGCGCCCCUCCCUGAGGGCCAGUCCCCGCAGGUUCAUAGGCAGCCCCUAGGCCUGUCAACUGGCAGCCAGCACGGGGAGUCACUGGGAGGGAAGACGCCAGGCCCAGGCCCCAGCAUGUGAAUGCUGGGCUGCUGGGGAGGCUGGCAGGCAGGCCGGCUGCCAGUGGCUCCAAGUCAGGUAAUCACACUGGGCACCCUGAACACCCCUACCCCACCUGAUCGCACCAGCCCUCACCUCCCUCAACACCCUCUCUUGAAUUUGGCAAAUUCAAGCUGCUUGGGAACUGAGCCCUGAGGCUGUCUCCUGUCAAAAGAAAAGUAAGGACAUAAAGAAGGAAGGUAUCCACUGAGACCAUGGGGCCCAGGAAGGGACACUGCCCCACCCUCUCCCCUAAGGCUUCCAUGACCCACCAAGAUUCUACAUCCAGUCACCUGGUCCCUUUCCCUUCCCAACAUACAAUGUCACACUCACAGGCCUGGCUGGAUCAGUACCUCCAGGGCCCAGCCUGUCCCUUGAUGCCUAUGCACUCCCCAUGGGCUUCAAAGCUUUGAGGACAGAAAUGACCAGGUCUCAUUCACACCCACAGUAGGACCCAGUCAGGGUGAGACAGGACCAAACACAAAAGGCCAAGGGCCCCUCCCUUGGGGGCCAACAGAAGUCACUCAGAAACCCCAAGUCCUUUCCCAAGGUCCCUUCAUCCACAGGGCUUGGGGUCUUUUAAGAAAAGGAGGGCGGGUGUCUGGGUGGCUCAGUUGGUUAAGCGUGGACUUCGGCUCAGGUCAUGAUCUUGAGCUUCAUAAGUUUGAGCUCCACAUUGGGCUCUGUGCUGAUAGCUGGGACCCUGGAGCCUGCUUCAGACUGUGUCUCCCUCUCUCUCUGCCCCUCCCCCACUCAUGUGUUCUUGCUGUCUCAAAAAUAAAUAAACAUUAAAAGAAAAGGAAGGAAGGAAGAAAAGAAAGAAGGAAAGAAAAGAAGGGAGCACAUCAAGUUCUAAAUUGGACCUAAGGGGCUUACCUGGCUUUACCCAUCUCUUUUCACUCUUCUUUUCAUUCAGUGAAAAGAACAAAGGGGCACAGCCUUGUUUUAGUGACCAUCCUCAGAGUAUAUUCAGGACCCACAGCCACAGCAGGCUUGGGAAAUAACUAGGCUCUCCCCAGACUUCCUGGGUCAGAAACUCUGGGAGUGGGGCCAGCACUAGGUUUUUAACAAGCCCUCCAAGGGGGUCUGGGGCAGCUACAGUGUGAGAGCUCCUGGUUAACAGCUUCCCUCUUCCACCCUCAGACACCGCCCCCCCCAGACCGCCCCCAUUGAUUGCCUCAAUUGGUUCUUCCUGGCAGAGAGCCCAGAACCCCAAAAGGCUUCUUUAAAGAAAUACCUCCUAAGGGAUCCUCCUAGUUUUUGUUUGGUUUUGUUUUGUUUUUUUGUCUAAAAACCACACCCUGGCUGAUGCUUGAAAUUCUAAUCUGUCUGAAUGUCCCUCUCACCAAUGGUGGGACUGGGGCAGGUGGGGGACUUGAAGGUCAGAUGCCCUCCUUAGCUCACAAACUGGAAGCCCCUUCCAACAAGGCCAGGGGCUUCCAGAUCUGUCUCAGUGUCUGAUCUCCUUUUCAAAGGCAGUGCUAAGCAUCUAAGCGAGGAAAGAAUAGAACAUUCUGCAAGCCCAGCUUGCCUGAGAGAUAAAGAACAGAAAGGAAGUGCGGAGGUGGCGGUGGCUUUCACAGUAAGUCGCAUGGACCUGUACCCCAAGAGGCCACCAUAGCCUGCCAUGGCACCCCAACUGUCCCUCCACUGUCCCAGAUAACAGAGUCAGGCUGAUGGGAUGCUUUUUCAUGGUCCAGCCCUGACCCUUGCGCCACGGAGGGAGGUGUGCUCACCCUGCCUCCUGUCAGCUCUCCAGGCAAAUAUGAGCUGAGUUACAUAGGGUGCAGGAGCCCCCAGGAGCUGCUUCACCCCACUCCCCAAAUCUCAGGGCUAGAGCUCUGUAUGUCCCUGUCUCAGCCCCACCUGGUAGUGUAUCAGACGCUGCCUCGGGCACCCAGGAGGCAUCUAUAUACACUCGACAUUCUGAUUGAGGACACACGAACAUCAGAGAAAAGAGACAAAAAAUGUUAGACAGGAGGAAAAGGGAAAGAAGAUACAGUGACUACCAGGACAGAGGGCUCCCUCAGACUGGGUGGUCAGGGGCAUCUGCCAAGGAGAGGAAAGGUAAGAAGGAGCUGGUGGGUGCAGGAAGAGGAAGCAUCCAGCAGCACACAGCAGCUAGUACAGUCUCUAGACGGCAGCCUCUCAGUGAUUCCAAGGACAGAUGGGAGGCCAGAGAGGGUGGGUGGUGGGGGAGGGGAAGCAGGGGACAGAUGGCCUGAGAGGGUGGCAGGACCAGUGUGCAGAGCUAGGGUUUUAUUCCGAGGGUGACAGGAACACAUCAUGAGAUUAAGCAGGGGUCACACUUUUAAAUGGUCCCUCUGGUUGUGGUGGAGAUAGAUUUAGGACUGACCACAGUAGACAAGACCACUCUGGCCAGUGCCUGUGGCAGGGCAGUCCUGCUCACCCUGGGAACCCUCCUGGGCCCCUGUGGGCCAAAGCAGUGAAAGGAAUUCUCCCAGAACCCUCUACCCCACUCCAGUGCAACGGGAGAUUUGUUUUAUAUCUUCAAAGGGUACAUUUUGUCAAUUAAAUUCAGAGCUUACUUUAUUUAAAAAUUAAAAAAUUAAUACUCAAUUCAACAAAGUCCCAGAUAUAAAGGGACUAGUUCUUCCUUCAGCUUUUAAAUUCUCUUACUAAAUGGCUUAUUUUAUACAUAAACCUAGCAAGUUUUAGUCAUCACUUUGUUCAGGAAGGGCUUUGAUUUAUGUUUUGGCCCAUCCACAUAUUUUGUUAAUUAUACUCCUUUAAAUGUUUUAAACUACAUUUGUGCAUUUAAUUUUAAUUUGAUUUUAAGUACUUCAAUUGUAUCAAUGAAAAAAAAAAAACCUUCCCAAGUACUUCAGUACUGUUUUAUAAAUCUAAUACAUUAAACUAUAGAGACUCACAUUCUCUGAGUAUUCCAAUACUGUAUAAGAACUUAGAUUUCUAGUUAAAAAUCUCAAGUCUAAAUUACUCAAUUAUGGCUUUAAAUUCUAAUUAGAAAGUUGGUCUAUGAGUCUAAUCGCCCAGAUUAUCUUAAACAUGACGAAUGCUGGAAAGACCAAAAGCAUCUGUUUAAACAAUGUUAAAAUUGUGGGUUUCCUUCUCUUAGACAUUUGGAUUGACAAUUCUACAGUUUUGUCAUCCAAAAUAAUAUCAGAGUUACCUUUCUAAGAAAUGUUGGGCUCUGUUCUUGGCUGGCAGAACAUUUACUGUUGGGAGAGGUCCUGCCUCGUGCCUGUCUGCCCGGCAGGCUGGGCCUGACCUACAAUUGCUCUUCCAAACCCUUCUCCAAUUUAACAGAGAGCCAGUCUUCCCAGUCAAGUCUCUAGACACGAGUUACCUGUCAUCUAAUUCCUGUCUCUAUUCAUAGAUGUUUGCAGUCCCCACACUCCUGACUUUACACUUUUCUCCAAUUGGCCUAUGUAUUGCUUCAUUCAGUUCUGGAUUCUUUUCCAGGUCUUCCUAUCUGUUCGGAGGCAUUUAAAUGGCAUCUGGCUGACUGUCCCCCAGCCUGGUGACACCUGACUGCUGCUGCUCGAUCACGUUGUCAUCUGUGUUCUGGCUGUCUUUCCCUAACCAGUCAAGUAGACUGUGCUGUUUGGUGGCCCCAGCCCACCCCAGACAGAUGUCCAGCAGCACAGACAGGAUGACAGGGGUGUCCCAAACCCCUCCAUGGAUCUGGAGUACCAGUCUGUGUGAGGAGAAAGCCCCAGCCAUGGGCACCCCCUAGAACCAGCCUCCUAGCAACAACCCCACUCACCCAGACUGGUAUAUUCAGAGAUGGACAAUAACAAGUGUGUGUGAGAACAUGGAGUAAUUGGAAAUCUCAUUCAUACACUGCUGGUGGAAAUGUGAAAUGGUACAGAAGGAAAACAGCCUGGCAAUUCCUCAAAUGGUUAAACGUAGGGUUACCACAUGACCCAGCAAUUCCACUCCUAGGUAUAGACCCAAAAGAAAUGGGCAUAUGCCCACAUAAAAACUUGUGCAUGAAUGCUCAAAGAAGCAUCAUUCAUGAGAGUCAUAAAGUACAAACAACCCAAAUGUCCAUCAACUGAUGAAUGGAUUAAAAAAAAGUGGUAUAUCCAUUCAAUGGAUAGUUAUUCAGCCAUAAAAAGGAAUGAAGUACAGGGGCACCUGGGUGGCUCAGUCAGGUAAGUGUCCAACUUCAGCUCAUGUCAUGAUCUUGCAGUUCCUGGGUUCGAGCCCCAUGGUGGGCUCUGUGCUGACAGCUCAGAGUCUGGAGCCUUCUUCAGAUUCUGUGUCUCCCUCUCUCUCUGCCCCUCUCCUACUCGCAGUCUGUCUCUCUCUGUCUCUCAAAAAUGAAUAAACGUUAAUUUUUUUUUUUUAAAUUGGGGCGCCUAGGUGGCUCAGUUGGUUAAGUGCCUGAAUUCGUUCAGGUCAUGAUCUCAUUGUUCAUGAAUUCAAGCCCCGUGUUGGCUUCUCUGCUGACAGCUCAAGCCUGGAGCCUGCUUCAUUUUCUGUCUCCCUCUCUCUCUGCCCCUCACCCGCUCAUGCUAUGUCUCUCUCUCUCUCAACAACAAAUAAACAUUAAAAAAAAAUUUUAAUUUAAAAAAAAGGAAUGAAGUACUGAUAUGCCCUAUAAUAUGGAUGAACCUUGAAAAUAUUAUAAGUGAAAGAAGCCAGACAAAAAUGCCAUAUAUUAAAUGGUUCCAAUUCACAUGAAAUAGUCAGAAUAAUAAAUGACUGUGGGGGGGGGAAGGGGAAUAGUGGGGGUGAGAGAUAAAGGGUAUGUUUUAAGGUGAUGAAAAUGUUCUAAAAUUGUCUGUGGGGAUGGUUGCACUUAUCUCCGAAUAUACCAAAAUCCAUUGAAUGGUAUCCAUGAAGUGGGUGAAUUGUAUGAUAUAUGAAUUAUACCUCAAUGAAACUGUUGUAGCAAAAAAUGUGUGCCCAGAGAAAUCUUGUUUCCACUCCUACUCCCUCUGCCUGUAUCCACAGGACUUCUUUUUGCAAAAUAAGUGAGGUAUAUAUAUAUAUACAUAUUUUUUUAAUGUCCCCUACUUUCUUAUAAAAGUAGUAGUGUCUUAUGUGAACAAUUUGGCACCUUACUUUUUUUUUAAUUUUUUUUUUUUAACUUAACAGUGUAUCCUAACGCUAGCUGUUUCCAUGUCUCUCUGUCUUUUUGAUGGGUACCCAGGACCUCCUGGUGGGGGGGUGUCAUGCACCACUAGGAACACCCAUGCCUACCUGUUGCUUCAUCUCUGUCCUGGUGGUUCACUGGGGGAGGCUCCUGAAUCCAGGCACACUUGAACGCUCUUUGGUGGCUAUUGCACACUGCCGUGCCCUCCAGCUCCGUAGCUGGUCCCUGCCGCCUCCAACUUCUCACCUGCAAACCGGCUGUUGUGGGAGUCAAGCAAGUUGAUACUGGUUGAAGACGUAGAACAGUGUCUGGGACAUAAUGACCAUGAUUUAAGUGGGAACUCCUAUUAUCAUUACCCUCACCUUCAAGGCCAAGCAAGCCAGUGUCUGGCUGGGAAGAUCCGCCUGCCACCUGGCCCGGUGCCUCCUCUUUGUGCUUUGAGGGCAGAGGCAGCCGACGCCUCACCGCAGAGUACAGUGGGGCUGAGUACAGUAAAAGGGGGAGACAAGUAAGGGCAUGAGCAGGGGCCUUCAAAUGGAAGAACAAAGGGUGGGACAGCCUAAGUGCAUCCUACUUCGGUCAGAGUGAUUCUGGGAGGGGCCGAGAGUGAUGGGGCAGGUGUGCUCCCCUCAUGAGGAGCAUUUGUGCAGAGGCCUGCACAGAGUGAGGAGCAAACCUUGAUAUCUGGGUCAAAAAUUUCAGAGGCCCCAGGCAGGGUUCACUUGCUGUAUGCCAGACUCUGCAGGGAAGCCCGUGUGGUUCCAGCAGGGUAGGGGCUGGCAAGAAGGUAGAGGUGAGGCAAAGCUCUGGGAUAGGCACAUGCCAAGUCAAGUAGGGUCUGGCUCCAUGUGAAUGGGAAGGGAAGCCACCUUCAGGUUCUCAUCAGAAGAGGAUCCACCCAUCUUCCUCUAGAGUUGUAAGGCUCCUGGGGGGGUCUGGGUUGGACAUAAGUUGCAUGUAGCUUGUCAGUGGUGGCUGCUCUCUUAAUCCAGGGAGGAGAAGACGGGGUCUGGAGCCAGAGUGGCCUCUGGGGAGGUGUGGCAAAGCCUUCAGAGAAGGAUCUACUUUGAUGAUAGGGCCAACAGAAUUUGUAUCUGUCCAUCUCCAUAUGCAGCAGGGCCUAGCUGAGCCCUGGGCAUGUAUCCAGAGUUGUUAGCACAAGCCUAUGUCUGCUGCAGAGACCUCCUGGAAGCUUCCAGAGAUAAGAGGGUAAGAGUGUCAAUAGAGGAAAUGCGUGUGGAUCCCCAGAUGGGGCUCUAGGCCCAGUUCCCACAUGUGACCCAUGUCUGAGGUCCAUCCAGAGUCCACAUUGUUAAAAUAACAUGAACAGACUCUACUGAAUUUCUAAAAUGAUACCUGUCCAAGCUACUCUGGUCCUCCCCAAGAUAUCCUUGGGGGUCCUCUGGACAUUAUGGCCCCAAGGGCUCCAGAACAUGGAAGAAGGAGCCCCAUGGGAUGAAGCAGAGCAGCAGUGGCCCCAA